rnacentral:rRNA from 1 species
GACGAACGCUGGCGGCGUGCCUAACACAUGCAAGUGGAGCGACGAACCAGGGCUUGCCCUGGGGCAAAGCCGCGAACGGGUGAGUAACACGUGGGCAACCUGCCCCCGGCUCUGGGAUAACUCCAAGAAAUUGGUGCUAAUACCGGAUAUUCACAUUCUCUCGCAUGGGGGUUUGUGGAAAGUUUUUCGGCUGGGGAUGGGCCCGCGGCCUAUCAGCUUGUUGGUGGGGUGAUGGCCUACCAAGGCGACGACGGGUAGCCGGCCUGAGAGGGUGACCGGCCACACUGGGACUGAGACACGGCCCAGACUCCGACGGGAGGCAGCAGUGGGGAAUAUUGCGCAAUGGGCGGAAGCCUGACGCAGCGACGCCGCGUGAGGGAUGACGGCCUUCGGGUUGUAAACCUCUUUCAGCAGGGACGAAGCGGAAGUGACGGUACCUGCAGAAGAAGCACCGGCCAACUACGUGCCAGCAGCCGCCGUAACAC